rnacentral:rRNA from 1 species
GGGUCAGUAGGUUGGUCGUGCCACCGGUACGUACUGGUCUCACUGAUUUCUCCUUCCUGAAGAACCGUAAUGCCCUUAAUUUGGUGUUGCGGGGAAACAGGACUGUUACUUUGAAAAAAUUAGAGUGUUUAAAGCAAGCUAACGCUUGAAUACAUUAGCAUGGAAUAAUGAAAUAGGACGAUCGAUCCUAUUUUGUUGGUUUCUAGGAUUGACGUA